GGAAAAAUAUUGUGAUUUUGUUGUCCCAUAGAUGGAUGGAGAUCCCAUAUAGCUUUUGAUUAUUGAGAUUUUAAUGGAUCUAUAGUUUUGAUUCCAGUUUUUUUGAUGAGAAGUGUCCAGCCCUUAUUUGAGAAGAAAUGUUAAAUAAUUAUUGAUUGUGUGCCUUCACAAUGAGGUUUUUCUACAGAUUUUUCUACGUAUUUUUCUCAGCAUUUUUCCACGUAUUUUUCUUCAAGUAUUUCUAGACAUUUUUCUGCAAGUUGUUCUGCAUAUUUUUCUAGAAGUUUAUGCCAAGUUUUUCCACAAGUUUUUCUUACGUGUUCAGUCACCGAAGUAAUCAGUAGCAGCCUGUUCGGUUAGAUUUCA